rnacentral:misc_RNA from 1 species
UGUGGGAGCGAGGCUGCUCGCGAAAGCGUCGGUUCAGUCAAUGGAUUCAUUGAAUGACACACCGCUUUCGCGAGCAGCCUCGCUCCCACA